CAGUUCUGCAGGUACAAGACUAUCUCCUUUGUAGCAGAGUGAACUUGAGUCACAACCCGAAGUCAUCCUGGUGAAGCGGCUUCAUUUGUCUGGGGUAAUACCCGAGCACUGAACCAAAUCCUAGUACAUUCUUUGUGAUGUGGAGAGGCUGCUGCCCUGGGAUUGCCUGGGCACCAUCUUUCCUGGCACCCACCCUCUAUACCAGCCUUUCUUCUCCUCCUCAGUCACCAGGAAACUGACUUCUUUUGCAAAGCAGCAGUGAUGAAAACUUUCCAAGUUUCAGCGGGUAGAAGAUAUCCAGCUUUGACCCUCAAAGUAAACAGAGCCUCAGAAAUUCCAUGGAGUAGGCAGGGACCAGGAGCAGAGCUCUUCAAACUUUUUGAAUUCACAACACUCUUACUUUAAGUUUUCU
rnacentral:lncRNA from 1 species